rnacentral:rRNA from 1 species
UGGUGGCGAGCGGCGGACGGGUGAGUAAUGCCUAGGAAUCUGCCUGGUAGUGGGGGAUAACGCUCGGAAACGGACGCUAAUACCGCAUACGUCCUACGGGAGAAAGCAGGGGACCUUCGGGCCUUGCGCUAUCAGAUGAGCCUAGGUCGGAUUAGCUAGUUGGUGAGGUAAUGGCUCACCAAGGCGACGAUCCGUAACUGGUCUGAGAGGAUGAUCAGUCACACUGGAACUGAGACACGGUCCAGACUCCUACGGGAGGCAGCAGUGGGGAAUAUUGGACAAUGGGCGAAAGCCUGAUCCAGCCAUGCCGCGUGUGUGAAGAAGGUCUUCGGAUUGUAAAGCACUUUAAGUUGGGAGGAAGGGCAUUUACCUAAUACGUAAGUGUUUUGACGUUACCGACAGAAUAAGCACCGGCUAACUCUGUGCCAGCAGCCGCGGUAAUACAGAGGGUGCAAGCGUUAAUCGGAAUUACUGGGCGUAAAGCGCGCGUAGGUGGUUUGUUAAGUUGAAUGUGAAAUCCCCGGGCUCAACCUGGGAACUGCAUCCAAAACUGGCAAGCUAGAGUAUGGUAGAGGGUGGUGGAAUUUCCUGUGUAGCGGUGAAAUGCGUAGAUAUAGGAAGGAACACCAGUGGCGAAGGCGACCACCUGGACUGAUACUGACACUGAGGUGCGAAAGCGUGGGGAGCAAACAGGAUUAG